UCACUGGUGGCCUCCUCUCUGUCUCAGUGGAGGAGGAAACAAGGAAGAAGAAAAGGCUUGUUUCUCUUAUCCUUUGCUUUGAAAAUCCAAACCAGCGUUUUAUCUGGAUGUUGAUGUAUAUUAAGAUGGGGCCUCCAGUCCUCUGCAGCUUCCGAAUCAUCCAAAAAUGGCCCCUAUACAGCUGCUGGUGCCACUCCACUACUGAUGCAAUGCAAGGGGAAGUUGUGGAAACCAUCUUCGUGCUACUUCUCAGCAGAUGUCACUUCCCAGCCACUUUGCUGCCAGUCACUAGAAUAUAGACAUUUCUAGUCUUGGCACAUUUGGCUUGAUCACAGGCAUGAUGGGAACUAGGGAAAAACAGAAAGAGAAGGUUGGAUCCUGUGGUCUGGGAAAUGGGGAGAAGAAUAAAAACCUUGCUGCUGCUGACCCUUUUUGUCACUUGCUAUAAAGAAGACCCCUAAGGCAAGAGAGAGUAGAAAAUGGCCACCAUCAGUCCCCCAGUUCAAGGGAGGGAUGAAGUGGACUAUGGUUCAUGGGGCAAAAAGACAGUCCAAAGGUGACCUAGAGCAUUUGGGGUGGAACAUAUCUCUGAAAAGAUAAUGACAAUACAAAGACAUGCAACAUACAGGGUGUAGCUUCCCUGAGCUCCCAGAUCUGUGGGUAGUGGCUUCUGCUUCAUUAUGCAGCACUUCCUCUCCCUACCCCUCUGACCACCCAGCUUGGGUUAGACAGAUGGAGAAGGCAGGACAGAGCCACCAGGCAGCACGCUCCUCUCCUGGACAGCCUGGCACAGAGCCCUGAGCACACCGUGGAUUGCGCUGCCAUGACCGUCUACCUCCUUGUGAUACUCCUCACCUCCCCUCUCUUGUCAUUUCAAUGGCCCUCUCUCACAGCUCUCCUCCACUUGCUGCCAUUGGCUGUGUCCUCUGCAGACCUGCUGCCGGUCCCUACCCUAUCCACAGACCCCAGUUAUCAUUUCUAUUAUGAAGGGGAACAUCUUGCUAUCAUAUGCUUGGCUGCAACACAAAGGAAAAUAGGCGGAUUUCGGUUCUUCAAUCAAAGCGGGGAGCAAAUCGACCUAAGAGCACCAUACCCCCUCCCGUUUGCCUGGCUCCAGCUCAAGGCUACAACAGCAUCAGCUGGGACAUACACGUGCAUGUACUUUGUGGAGGACUCUGGGCAAGAAGUUCCUUCCAACAGGAGCCUUCCUCUCUCAAUUAAGGUCCAGACUGCUCCCGUGGCCCCAGCUUUAUCCCUGGAUCCUCAGCAGCAAGUCUAUGUAUCCGGGAACAGUGUCAAGCUCCUCUGCUCCAUCCCCUCAUCUCCAGAUAAUGUUAGGGAAGUCCAGUACUAUGCAGACUUUGGAUUUGCAGUCUCCAUCCCAGUAUCAAAUGUGAAAAACUACAGCUACGAUCUCAAAAUCACAGGAGAGGAUGUCUCUGGGUCUUACAGUUGUGCCUACUUUGUAAUGAAGUCUAUGCGUCCUGUUCGAUCCGAAAGGAGCCGCUGGAUCAAUGUUAAUGUGAAGAGCUAUAAAAUCGGCUGGAUUCGAGAGAUCAUUGUUGGGGGUUCAUUCUUUACCAUCAAUGGCCUCAUCUUUUUCUUCUCCCACUGCCUGAUGAAGAGAACAGGGGUCCAACACUGAAGAGAAGCCAUUUCUGAUGCUGCUGCUUCCCUCAUUUGUGGAUCUGGAAGAGGGAUUCUGAAGGAGAAUGAGAAGGAGAAGAAGGAGAAUUCCCUAAAG
ensembl:lncRNA